rnacentral:tRNA from 1 species
GGCUCGGUAGCUUAGUUGGUAAAGCGCUCGUCUAGCAUACAAGAGUCCUGGGUUCAAGUCCCAGCCAAGCAC